ACCAGAAAUCGGGCCCCUUCAGCAUAUGCUGCAAGCAACGGACUCUCCUCAAGUACCAUCUGCUGACCCGGAGAAAACGAUAACGGGGGUCUAUCCAAUUAAACCACCUGGAUGUGUUGUACGCAAUGUCUCACCUAAUGAGGUAUCCAUUCCAACUACUCCUGGAUUUGAACCUCAAGCUCAAUCUCCUCUAGAAGAAAUUGAAGAAGAAGACUCUGUGAAUUCACCUGCUGAGACCAAAAGGUCUCGUCGGAAGAAUGGUGGCAAGCGUCGUAAACGUACCCAUAACCAGACUCAAGUACAAUAUAGGUACGCGCCAAAGACAACUCCAGCGGAGCUAAGGGAAAUAUGCAGAGAGUCAAAAUCAAGUCUUGUUCCUUUGUUUUCGAAAGAAUUGACUGUUAGUGAUGCUGACAUGAGGAAUGGGCGUCUAGUGUUACCAAAGAGGUGUGCGGAGGUGUAUUUCCCAAAUAUUUCGGGCCAACAAGGAAUCUUCCUCAUGGUGCAAGACACAAAAGGAAAUGACUGGGAACUUUACUUCCAUUACUGGUCAAAUAGUAAUGGAAAAAUGUAUCUUUUGGAAGGGCUUAAAGACUACAUGGUCCUGAUGAAAUGGGAAGUAGGUGAUACAGUUACAUUUUAUAAACGAGAAGAAGAUGGAAAAUUGUUCAUGGGAUUCAAAAAGUAUCAGGCUCCAAAUGUUGUUCUGAAGAGAUCAACUGAUGCUUGAAACUGACUUUAGCUUUCAAAGGCCAUUGUGAACCUUGUGCUUUUCAUCUAAGGUGUUGGAAGUUCCUUUUAUACAUGCUGUUGUCCGUCGGCGAACUAUUACAUUGGUGUCAGAGAAGGAUCCAUGGACAAAAAGAGAGUAUCGGUGGCAUGCCAAAAAUUGGAUACGUUUCCACUUGGACAUAAUAAGUAGAGCUCUCCGACUGAUUGACAGUUGUCUGGGGGGAUUCAGUAGCUACCGACGUAAAUAUGCAUUGGCUACCUUGCUUGAUCCGUUCUAGAUUUCUGUCGUCCUGUCUGGGAACAUUUCGGAAUUCAGGUCAGAUGUAUAAUUUCUUUUUCACUAUUUAUUCUAAUCUUUUAAAGAUGAUCCUUAAUGAAUUUCCAGCUUGUUACCGUCUUUCCUUCAAAGAGAAGUUUAUACUACACCGUCUUUCCUUCAAAUAUGCAGGGGAUUGUUGUUGUAUAGUAACCCAUUGAGUGGCGUUAUUGGUAAAAUGAAAUGUUGUUCUCCCUAUAGGAUCCGAGUCUGAAUAACUAUGUCUGCAGAGAGAGUGCGCACGUUGUCAAUAGGCUAAAAAAAUUCUGAACAAAUAGUUUUUGCUAAGACUUACAUUAAUGCCGACUUCAUCAUGCCGCAUAUUUGCGGAGGAUGCGAGCGAUUGGUAUGAAUAAUAAGAAGACAAAAAGCUUAUAUGCUUUUAGAUGAAGGAAACCUUCAUUGAAGCAAGUUCAAACUGAUAUGUUACUUGUGAAUGAUCUAAAUACGAAAUUUCCCCCUUUCAAUUGUUGUGGCCGGACAUUCUAAUCUACAAUCAGUAAUGCCAUCAAGUUUAACAACUAUUGUACUUAAAUGUCACAACUCUGCCAUUAACACGGUAAGCUAUGUUUAGUAAUAAACUUCACACUGCGUUAAAUGAAUGACCUUUGUCUGGGAACAUAACCGAGUUCCUUAUAUGUCUUGUGCAAUUGAGUGUCUGGUAUCGUAUAUGGUAAUUUGUUUACAGAGAUUAAUUUACCAUCUUUGUUCUAUUAAUGGAGUCUUUUUCUGUGUCUUUUAUUUAGCAUGUUUAUAGCUACAUUUGUUGUUGUACAUGUGUUCAUUUUACAUUAGGUGAAAGGACAAGUUUACGAUUCCUGGCACGGUGUCAUAGGACAGUUCUGGAAUUCCGGCAUCCUGUACAGCAACUUUUAAGA